rnacentral:rRNA from 1 species
UACGUAGGGGGCAAGCGUUGUCCGGAAUCAUUGGGCGUAAAGAGCGCGCAGGCGGUCGUUCAAGUCGCGUGUGAAAGCCCCCGGCUCAACUGGGGAGGGUCACGCGAUACUGAUCGACUCGAAGGCAGGAGAGGGUAGUGGAAUUCCCGGUGUAGUGGUGAAAUGCGUAGAUAUUGGGAGGAACACCAGUGGCGAAGGCGGCUCACUGGACCGGAACUGACGCUGAGGCGCGAAAGCGUGGGGAGCAAACAGG